AUCCAGUUGACGAGUCCUAAAUAGGACGAAACAUGUGUCCUCGAU
rnacentral:hammerhead_ribozyme from 1 species